CCAUAUUGGUCAGGCUGGUCUUGCACUCCUAACCUCGUGAUCCACCCGUUUCAGCCUCCCAAAGUGCUGGGAUUACAGGCAUGAGCUGCCGUGCCUGGCCUUCUUAAACCUCUUUUAUAGUCAAUGAUAACAUAAAUAAGUGUCUCCAUUUGGUUCAAUAGGAUGAAAGUUCUGCAGCCUUUUGUUUUUGAUGGCGAAUAGAACAAUUCAAGGUACAAAGAUCCUUCAACUCUGGCAACCGUGGCUUUCCAAAAUGUCACUGAGAUCCCUCUCAAAAAAAGGUCUUUUGAGCCAUCCAAAACAGAAAAUUCAAGCAUUUUACCUAGAGUACAGCUCUUACUCCUCACUCAGAGCUGGUUUACUUUUAUAUCACACUCAGUGUGAGCUGAUUUGGUAACCCACUUGCAAAAGCAAUAGCUGUGGUUUCCUCAAGGACACCACUGGGGUGUAUUUCUAGAGUAAUGACCCUAAACAUUAAGACAGUCAAGGCCUUUCUGCUGUUUACAAAGGAAACAGGUUUUGUAAUCCACAUGUACACGAUUUUUAUAAAAUAGCUAAUUUUUAAGCUCUUGAAUAAGAGAAUAUUUCCACUAUCUGGAAAAUCCCCUUGUUUGGACAACCUUGUUCCCUCAUGGCAUCCGAUAACUAAGGAGUUAACAUUUCACAUUUCUUUGGCACUACCAAGGAUUGUUGCCUUGAAAAGAAGAAGGAAAAAGUAGACGGAGGGUGGUGAGUUAAAAAAAUUGAAAUUCGCAGGUCAACUUAGACGUUGCUCUGCUUUGGUCCCUACCACCUGACUUUGCAACACACACAGUGCUUUGGAAUUCCUUCUUGGAGCUCUGAGGUGAGGCUGAAACAUGGCCACUCUUAACAUUUCACUGGGACUUUUUGAUAAUAUACACUCAACCCUGUGACCCAGCAAUUCCAGGAUCUCCCCAAGAGAAAUGAAGACAUGUCCACACAAGACUUGUGUAUGAUGAAUGUUCAUAGCAAUAUUACUCAUAAUAGCCUGCCCUCCCCCAACCUCCAGGCCAAAAACAAGGCCCACUGGAAACCAUUCAAAUGUUAAUCAACAGAUGAAUGGAUAAACAGAUAAAUGGAUAAACAAAAUGUGGCCCAAAGGACGACUGACUACUCAACAAUAAAAAGGCGUGAAGUAUGACACAUGGGUGAACCUCUAAAACAUUAGGCUAAGUGAAAAUAAAAAAUCCAGACACAAAAGCCUAUGUAUUGUAUGACACAUUAACAUGUAAUUUGCAGAAAAGGCAAAACUAUGGAGACAGAAAGCAGACCAGGGAUAAGAAGUGGAGAUUGACAAUCAUUGGGAGUGAGGGAACUCUUGGGUGAUGGAAAUGUUCUGAAACUGAGUAGUGUUGAUGGUUGCACAGUUGUGUGAAUUUACUGAAAUUUUUGAUAAGUAGAUUAUACUUCAGAAGCCAAGCUAUUUUUAAGAAACACCUAACAAAGAGGAAACAUUUUCUGGGUAUCUGUAUGACGCCUGGUUCCACCUGGGUAGAUAUUCCCACCCUUGGUGAAUCCCUAAGGUUGAUGUAAGUGUUGUAUUUGGGGGAGAAUGGAUGUAAUAUAAACCAGCCUGUUUGCGAAUGGGUUGGUGGGAGCAUCUGCAGAAAGGCAACAAAGGCCACUCUAUCAGUUGCAGAUGGCCCUGCUGCUGACGACAGCCUGUGUGCUGGGUUCUGAUGCCCCCUAGAGACAGCCGUGAAGAGGCAAUUUUCUCUUCUGAGAAAGGAACUGGAAUGAGUGGUUGUAUAAUUGCAGAAUUGUUUUCAAUAUGUCAGCAAGCACUAAAAAUAGGGAAACUGUCCCUUCCUACCUCUGUAGGCUGGAGACCUCGGGUUCAGCUCCGUUUAUCAAGGCCCAGGACCUUUCUGUUCUGAGACUUUGUUCCAGGGGACUUUCUCACUUCAGAGAGUAGCACAGGUCAUCCUGCACUUUUGUGGGGUGAUGAAAAGCUCAAGGUAUCCUUUUAUGUUUAGCCUAUCCAAUUCUUCUGUGUGGCCUCAGGGCCAGAAAAGCAGGGAAGACAUCCCCAGUUUGUAGCUGAGAAACUGCAGCCUGGGAGAGAUGAAUAAUACAUCUUUUGCCCAGAGUUGUUCCUCAGUAAGUACUGCAGAUGAGGCUCAGACCUGACCUUUGGGUUCCCGGAUGGAAUGCUGUGAACCCUGCACCUGGGGCUAUCUUCAAAUGUCUAUAGAGAUAACAUAGAGAUGCCCUCAGGAAGAUAACUAACUGCUCCCAUCCCGUGUGGGCCCGAUUGGGAAAUAAGGCCUAGCCAAGUGUAGAAACAAACUUUUUUGUUUUUUUG